CCCUUCGGGGACAUUGGUGACAGGUGGUGCAUGGUUGUCGUCAGCUCGUGUCGUGAGAUGUUGGGUUAAGUCCCGCAACGAGCGCAACCCUUGUCUUUAGUUGCCAUCAUUAAGUUGGGCACUCUAGAGAGACUGCCAGGGAUAACCUGGAGGAAGGUGGGGAUGACGUCAAAUCAUCAUGCCCCUUAUGCUUAGGGCUACACACGUGCUACAAUGGGUAGUACAGAGGGUUGCCAAGCCGUAAGGUGGAGCUAAUCCCUUAAAGCUA
rnacentral:rRNA from 1 species